rnacentral:lncRNA from 1 species
GCCCAUAUCAGAAUGGCUCAUAUCAAAUAUUAAAAUUUAAAUAGACUAAAAUCACAUGCAUUUAAAUUUUAAUAGGCCUAAAUUACAUAAAUUGAAAUUCUAAUACAGUAAAAAAAAUUAAACUAACUAUCAAUACCGUAAUGUCUAAUUUUAAACUGAAUCUAGAUUAACACCCCUACAUAACAUACUAAAACUAGUUAACAAUUCAAUAAUUCUUCUAUCUUGGAUCCAAGAACUCAAUAAUUGGCUUGUGAGUAUUUCCAAUGACCUGAAAAAGAUAGCCAAAACAACUAGCCUUAGGAAAAUACCAAAUAUAUCAAGUGGCAAAAUAGAAUAUAGAAAUCUAUGCAUUAGACAGGUUAUUUUCAUCAAUUUCAUUUCAAAAAAAUAUAUAUAGAAAUCAGGAGCCUGAUUAAUAAAACAGAACAAAUUAUAAAGAACAUUAAAUUCAAAAUAAAAAUAACAAAAUCAUAGAUGAUAGAAUAGAUUUUAAAUUAACCAGAAAAUGCAAAUGGUGUUUACAACGCUUACCUCUCAAAUAUCACCACAAAUCUAUAAAAUGCAAAGAGGAUAGAAGAUUAUCAAACCCUAAACCUUAACUCAUAAAAUAAAUAAAUUAUUUUAGUCAAAUAGCAAUAUGAUCAAAGGAUUUAAAGGGUCUACCUCUUAAAUCUCACAGAUCUGGAAUAAAAUCAAAGGGUUUAAAGGGUCUAGCUCUCAAAUCUCACAGAUCUGGAAAAUGCAUCUGAUAGAUGGAAGAUUCUCAAAACCUAACUCGAAAAAAAAAUGUUAGUCAAAUAGUAACAUGAAAAACCCUAACUAGAAUAGGAAACUGAAUAACAGAAAAACAAGAGAAGAAGAAUAUGAAUGGAAAAAUAAAUUAACCAGAGCAUUAUCUUUGAUUGAAAAUCCUAAACCAUAAGCAGCAAUAUAUCUUUCUUCUUGUGCAUAACAUGAUAGAAAAGCAAAAAGAAAAUUGUUAAAGAGUAGUAAAAACUUAAAACGAAAAAGAGAGAAGAGUUGAGGAACGAAAACAGAGAAGAAACAAACCAUAUUUCUAAGAGAAGAUCUACGGUGAUGGAGGUAGCAGCGGCG